rnacentral:tRNA from 1 species
AUAGCUCAGUUGGUAGAGCCCCGGAUUGUGAUUCCGGUUGUCGUGGGUUCGAGCCCCAUUAGCCACCCCA